GAGUUUAGGGAAGAGUCUGAUUUUAAAUGAAGUUUUGAUUUUGGAUUUGUUUAGAUUUAAUUUUGAGUUAAAAUUAAUGUAAAAAUAUAAUUUUGGAUAAUAGGUACUGAAGAAUCUCCUAGAAGUUAGUCGAUCUAUUCAUUCAGUGCUCCGUGAAAGGUAAGUAAUGAAUCAUCUUCUCGAGAUAUUUCAUAUUUAUUCUGAAAAUAAAUAAUUAUUCUCUAAAAUUAUGCAUGAUUUAUGAAAUUAUGUUUUGAAAGAAAAGUGCUUUUGAAAUAUUAUGGUACGUCGAUUAUGCAUAUGUUCAGUGAAAAAUUUUGAUAUAUUAUGAUACAAAGUAUUUUGAUACAGAUCGGAUUUAUGCUCUCAGCCUAACUAUGUUUCAAUGGGCCCCGCCAAUGAAGAUUAUACGUUGGUACUCAGUGGACCCUGCCAGUGGGGGUUGUGCGCUGGUAUUUGUGGACCCUGCC
rnacentral:lncRNA from 1 species